rnacentral:lncRNA from 1 species
AUACAUAAAUGUGAAGAAAAGUUAUUCAACCACUUGCUCCAUCUGUAACUAAUAUUAAGGAGAGGCAGAUCUGGUGGAAAGUAAUAUUAAGGAGAGGCAGAAGAAUGGGUUUUGUUCUCCUUGCAGCUGAUGAGGCACCAAUGCUUGCUGCAGCAAGGAACGGUAUUGUGGAAAUGGUAGAAAAAAUCCUACAAGUUUUUCCUAUGACCAUUCUUGACAGGGAUCAGGAGGACAAGAACAUAGUGCUGUUAGCAGUGGAAAAUAGACAAUCCAAUAUAUAUCACCUCUUUUCUUCGCUGCUUUCCUAGGUGAUAAAGACACUUCCCUUUCGGUCUAUGAAAUGUGAGACAGCCCCACCCAAGCCCAUGACUACUCCCAUGCCAGGCUUGAUGGCACUGCUCUUCACAGUGCCAUUGAAGGAGGACACUUGGGUAAGGGGUUGGACUCUUCUCCAUAGUCCAUGGUAGAUGCCUUAGGUGUCUUGCUUCUCAUAAUAUAAAUCACAUAUCAAUAGAAUCGACAGUACUACUCACCUGUAAUGUGACCUCAUCACAAUAGUUGUGCUCCACAGAUCUGGCGUUACAAAUUAUUGAUAGGCUGGAUGGUCUCAUGGAUUCUGUUAUGAUGGAAACUCCCCUCUGCAUAUGCUAGCUGCAAAGCCUACUGCAUUCAGAAGUGGAAUGUUUCUCAGCUUCUUUGACAUCAUUUAUCAUUGUAGUACUUUUCCAAUAAACCUAAAUGACCAUCAAUUCAGUUAUAUCACACACAACUUAUCAUGUCAUAUUGGAAGCUUUAAAUGUAAUGUGUUGGCGCACAAUGAUACCAUCAAUUCACUAAUAUCACACACAACUCAUGGAAAGGAAAAAAAAUAAAAUUACAACUACUACUCAUAAACCUCAGAACAAUCUAAUUUUUUCCUACUCCUAGUAUAUCUAUAUCUGGAACCCAAGUCAUGUUCCAUUGUCUCUAACUGCUCCUCACAUCUAUAUAACCAGACUCUACACAUCUAUUUCAAUCACAUUGACACUUUUUUGUUAAUAUUUAUAAAGAUAUUUCUAAUAUUUCUAUCAUAUAAAAACCAUAUUUCAAUAAAAAAAAAUCAAAUAAUUAGAAACCUUCACUGGUAGUUUUGGGUCAGUAUUUAAACUCAUCAUACAAAAUUAAGCAUGGAGACCAAUGAAUUAGUUUGUAUCUUAUGUCCCACAAAGGCCAAAAAUUUCUUAAAAUUCCCAUUGAUAACUUACAAGGUAUAUAUGUUGAAAAUCCCAUCCCAGAGACUUUCAAAGAGAAAAAGAAGCUCAAGAGCUACUGGUAUCCAAGCAACUAUCAAACAUGUAUCAACUUCUUUCAAGUUCUAUGGAAGAUGAUGAAAUUACCAGGUGGGGUUUUGAGAUUAAUCAUUUAAAAUAAAAAAAUUUGUUUGUACAAUUGAAUAAACAUGAAUGGCAUGAUUCAUUGAUUGAUUUCUUACACUAUAAAUCAUUGCUAUAUGUUUACACAGUUUUGGUGACUAGUGGAAAAACUGGUUGAAAAUUAAACAAAGCAGUUGGAUACAGAGAAUUUUGAAGCGGGGCAAGGUAUUAAUGAACAUCGUGUUCAGUGAGGAUCUACUUGGUCUAAGCUUAUAAGUUCCUAAAAGCAACUUCAAGGAAUUAAACAUUGAUUUCCAUACCUUUCUAUAGGUCACCAUUCAAGCAAUGCUACUCAAGGACAUCAAGGAUUCCCCUCAAGAUAUGGCAGAUGCCAGAGGUUCAUCAAGCCUAUUGUAUCCAAAGCAUUGCUGGUUAUCUUCUCAAUAGUGGAUAAUACUAUAACACCAUAAUAUUACCAUCUUAAAUUUCUCUUCUUAAUUUCCCAAACAAUAUGGAUUUUAAGUAUGUUUUUGUUUCUUAGUGGAUACAUGUCAAGGAUCAAGUGAGAUAAGGAAGUGAAGAGAGAAAAAAACAGAUGCACAUAUGAACUCUUGACUCUCUUCAGAUCAUGAACAAACUACUUG